AGAGUUUGAUCCUGGCUCAGAGCGAACGCUGGCGGCAUGCUUAACACAUGCAAGUCGCACGGGCACUUCGGUGUCAGUGGCGGACGGGUGAGUAACGCGUAGGUAUCUAUCCUUGGGUGGGGGACAACUGUGGGAAACUACAGCUAAUACCGCAUGAUGACUGAGGUUUAAAGGCGCAAGUCGCCUGGGGAGGAGCCUGCGUACGAUUAGCUAGUUGGUGGGGUAAAGGCCUACCAAGGCGACGAUCGUUAGCUGGUCUGAGAGGAUGAUCAGCCACAUUGGGACUGAGACACGGCCCAAACUCCUACGGGAGGCAGCAGUGGGGAAUAUUGGACAAUGGGCGAAAGCCUGAUCCAGCAAUGCCGCGUGUGUGAAGAAGGUCUUCGGAUUGUAAA
rnacentral:rRNA from 1 species